AUAUCUCUCUGUACGGGAAGGAUGAGAAGCUUCGACCAAGGUUCGAUUCGAGCGCAGCGAGAAAGCGUUGCCGCAGGCAACGACCCGAAGGGCGAAACGCGCAGCGCUGAGUCAUCCUUCCCCCACCACCA
rnacentral:sRNA from 1 species